AAACAUACUUACCUUACCCCUUAAUCCUUUUUUUGGCUGGUUGCUUUGAAAAGCUUGCAAAGGAGGAAAACAUGGAGGGAUUCCAGGAUUUCAGUCCCAUCUUUGUCUCCUGGCAUUAUUUCCUCAUCCCUUGCAUUAUCACUACCCUUCCUUGCUCCCUUCCACCCUCUAACCACACUCCCUUCUCCAUUGAAGCCUUAAGAGUGAAGCACCUCACCGGACCACUGUAGCGGCGACGAUCAAACCGGGGAGGAGCUCUUCAUUUCGUCAUCAACCUAGAGGACCACCGUGAGGAAUUUAUUUGGAUCUCAAUUGGGAUUAGACUUUUGUCAAAUCAGGAGCAGUAAACCCAGGGAUCUUAGAAGGCUUCCAGUAGAUGCCUUCUUUGGAAUUAUGUUCUGUGGCUUAUGUCUUUGCAUUUGUUGUAUUAUUGUUUAAGAACCUCCUUGUAGGUCGUACUGUAUUUCAUUCGCCUUGUAUUUGGGUUUGAUUGUAAACCUUAAGUUGUACUCUUAUUUAGUAUUUUGUCAGUUAUUUUCUACUCCUAGUAUGUGUUUAGGUUUUGAGGUCUUGCAGAUUCACUGGGCCCCGCCCUGUGGGUCUGUGGCCGUUUGUCAGCGCACCAGG